UACAGAGGUCUCGAGCGUUGUUCGGAUUCAUUGGGCGUAAAGGGCGCGUAGGCUGCGGGGCAAGUCGGGUGUGAAAUCUCAGAGCUCAACUCUGAAACUGCACUCGAUACUGCUUUGCUUGAGGACUGGAGAGGAGAUUGGAAUUCACGGUGUAGCAGUGAAAUGCGUAGAUAUCGUGAGGAAGACCAGUGGCGAAGGCGGAUCUCUGGACAGUUCCUGACGCUGAGGCGCGAAGGCCAGGGGAGCGAAACGGG
rnacentral:rRNA from 1 species